AUUGAACGCUGGCGGCAUGCCUUACACAUGCAAGUCGAACGGUAACGGGCCUUCGGGUGCCGACGAGUGGCGAACGGGUGAGUAAUGCAUCGGAACGUACCUUUCAGUGGGGGAUAACGUAGCGAAAGUUACGCUAAUACCGCAUAUUCUGUGAGCAGGAAAGCAGGGGAUCGCAAGACCUUGCGCUGAUUGAGCGGCCGAUGUCAGAUUAGCUAGUUGGUGAGGUAAAGGCUCACCAAGGCGACGAUCUGUAGCGGGUCUGAGAGGAUGAUCCGCCACACUGGAACUGAGACACGGUCCAGACUCCUGCGGGAGGCAGCAGUGGGGAAUUUUGGACAAUGGGGGCAACCCUGAUCCAGCCAUGCCGCGUGAGUGAAGAAGGCCUUCGGGUUGUAAAGCUCUUUCGGCCGGGAAGAAAUCGUAUGGGUUAAUACCCUGUGCGGAUGACGGUACCGGCAUAAGAAGCACCGGCUAACUACGUGCCAGCCGCCGCGGUAAGAC
rnacentral:rRNA from 1 species